rnacentral:rRNA from 1 species
GCUAGCUACAGGCUUAACACAUGCAAGUCGAGGGGCAGCAUGGUCUUAGCUUGCUAAGGCCGAUGGCGACCGGCGCACGGGUGAGUAACACGUAUCCAACCUGCCGUCUACUCUUGGACAGCCUUCUGAAAGGAAGAUUAAUACAAGAUGGCAUCAUGAGUCCGCAUGUUCACAUGAUUAAAGGUAUUCCGGUAGACGAUGGGGAUGCGUUCCAUUAGAUAGUAGGCGGGGUAACGGCCCACCUAGUCUUCGAUGGAUAGGGGUUCUGAGAGGAAGGUCCCCCACAUUGGAACUGAGACACGGUCCAAACUCCUACGGGAGGCAGCAGUGAGGAAUAUUGGUCAAUGGGCGAGAGCCUGAACCAGCCAAGUAGCGUGAAGGAUGACUGCCCUAUGGGUUGUAAACUUCUUUUAUAAAGGAAUAAAGUCGGGUAUGGAUACCCGUUUGCAUGUACUUUAUGAAUAAGGAUCGGCUAACUCCGUGCCAGCAGCCGCGGUAAUACGGAGGAUCCGAGCGUUAUCCGGAUUUAUUGGGUUUAAAGGGAGCGUAGAUGGAUGUUUAAGUCAGUUGUGAAAGUUUGCGGCUCAACCGUAAAAUUGCAGUUGAUACUGGAUAUCUUGAGUGCAGUUGAGGCAGGCGGAAUUCGUGGUGUAGCGGUGAAAUGCUUAGAUAUCACGAAGAACUCCGAUUGCGAAGGCAGCCUGCUAAGCUGCAACUGACAUUGAGGCUCGAAAGUGUGGGUAUCAAACAGGAUUAGAUACCCUGGUAGUCCACACGGUAAACGAUGAAUACUCGCUGUUUGCGAUAUACUGCAAGCGGCCAAGCGAAAGCGUUAAGUAUUCCACCUGGGGAGUACGCCGGCAACGGUGAAACUCAAAGGAAUUGACGGGGGCCCGCACAAGCGGAGGAACAUGUGGUUUAAUUCGAUGAUACGCGAGGAACCUUACCCGGGCUUAAAUUGCAGAUGAAUUACGGUGAAAGCCGUAAGCCGCAAGGCAUCUGUGAAGGUGCUGCAUGGUUGUCGUCAGCUCGUGCCGUGAGGUGUCGGCUUAAGUGCCAUAACGAGCGCAACCCUUGUUGUCAGUUACUAACAGGUUCCGCUGAGGACUCUGACAAGACUGCCAUCGUAAGAUGUGAGGAAGGUGGGGAUGACGUCAAAUCAGCACGGCCCUUACGUCCGGGGCUACACACGUGUUACAAUGGGGGGUACAGAGGGCCGCUACCACGCGAGUGGAUGCCAAUCCCCAAAACCUCUCUCAGUUCGGACUGGAGUCUGCAACCCGACUCCACGAAGCUGGAUUCGCUAGUAAUCGCGCAUCAGCCACGGCGCGGUGAAUACGUUCCCGGGCCUUGUACACACCGCCCGUCAAGCCAUGGGAGCCGGGGGUACCUGAAGUGCGUAACCGCGAGGAGCGCCCUAGGGUAAAACUGA